rnacentral:lncRNA from 1 species
AGCUCAGAGCUGUCUGACUGCAGAGCUGUAGGAGGUUGUGUCCGAGCUCGAUUCAGUCUCCCUCAGGCCCUGCAGGUGGGAGGGAAGUCGGGCCCUUCAAGUGAGGAAGCACAUCAGUGGCCCAGCAUCACUUCAUGCCUGAGGCCUCAGUUUCCCUGUCUGUCAUUAGAGACAGUUGGGCUACAAGGUCUCUGGCCUCAGCUCCUGUGGCCCCCUUGCUCUGGAUCCCGGAGCCUGGCCCAGGUCCAAGUCCUGUUUCUGGCAGUGCCAGCUCCUAGUGGGCCCUGGUGGCCAUGCAACAUUAGAAGGGGUGGAGAUGGGAACUACUUAUGGGCUAAGGGGGCUCUUUCUCAUGGACUUUGGUUGUCUGCCUUCCAGAGCAAUGUGACCAACUUCCAGAAAUGGAAUGAGGUGAGCAGCUGUUGGGAGGGUGGGGGUAUAGAAAUCAGAGACCUUCUGGGCAAGACUCUCUCUGGCCCCAUCCCUUCUGUCAUAUAUUUACUUGGAGAGUUAGAUACACAGAGCUGGGGUAACCCAUCCCUUUGGCAGGAGGGGGAAGGGGCUGGCCUCAAGGACACUUUCCUGAAGGAAGAGCUACUUCAACCCAACUGUGAGAACUCGCAAGUCCUGAAUGGAAUUGGAGGGAAGCAGGGUUCUCACGUGAGCAAAUAUCCCACACCAGCUCCUUGCCCCUCUCCUCACUUGCUACAGGGUCCCUACUGGGUCCUCCAUCCAGGCCCUGUCUGCAUCCUGUACUUCUUCUGUCCCAGGAAUUCAAAGUACUUAGGGAGAUCCAGCUUCUCCAGGAGGCUGCAAAUCAAUACAACCAGGAGCAAUUUGAGGCCUGGUUCCAGGCCAUGGAGCCUCUCAGUGAAGAUGAGAGGUGAGAUGGGGCAGGAGUUGGGUGAAGGAAGGGUGGACUCUCUCCAGAGAGCUCAUGGCCAUGGCACCAUGUUGCAUGGCACCCCCUGGGGCACUGGGAUUCCAGCUGCUGGCAGGCUCUGGGAGGGACACCUGAGGUGUGGCUCCUGGUAG